rnacentral:rRNA from 1 species
AGUCACUGACAUUAGAUACCCGUGUAGUCCAGGGUGUAAACGCUGCAGACUUGGUGUUGGAGGCCCUUUGGGGGCAUUCAGUGCCGGAGAGAAGUUGUUAAGUCUGCUACUUGGGGAGUACGUCCGCAAGGAUGAAACUUAAAGGAAUUGGCGGGGGAGCACCGCAACGGGAGGAGCGUGCGGUUUAAUUGGAUUCAACACCGUAAACUCACCAGGGAAGACUGUUACAUGAAGGCCGAGAUGAAGACUCUGCUAGAUUUUCAG